rnacentral:sRNA from 1 species
UAGUAGAUGCACCCUGAUUAGAUCGCCCAUAACGUCAUGGGCGUUUUUCUU